GGGGAGGAGAAGUAACUUUCCAUUGGAGAAACCUGGCAUGCACUAUCUCAGGCAGGUGAUUAAGAUCAACAAAAAGAGUGGUGGAUAAACAUCACCAGUGAAAUUCUCAGAGGAGCUGGCACUGACCAAGGCAGGUGAUUAUUGUUUGAACAUCAUUGUGUACACCAUAUAGACUGCGUUGUCAGUACGAAACCUCCCAAAAAAAAGAAGAAAAGAAAAGUAAAGUAGCAUAUUAUUAUAAUAUCUUGGAGCCUUUCAUUAUAAUACCUUUAUCGCAACAAAGCAUAAUGGCCAUUCUCAGUAGACUCAUUUGAUGCAGCUAUUCAUAAUGUAAUUGUUUUCUAUUUGCUGUUGUAACAAAUUAACACAAAUUAAUUGGUUUAAAACAAAAUGUAUUUAUUACCUUAAAGGUUUGAAGGUAUAUCAUCUGACAUGGGUCUCAUUGGGCUAAAAUAAAAGCAUUAACAGGGCAGUGCUUCUUUCUGGAGUCUCUGGAAAAAAAAAAAUCAAUUUCAUUGUUCUUUCUAGGUUCUAGCUGCUGGUCACUCUCUGUGGCUCAUGGCUCCUUCCUACAUCUUCAAAACCAGCAAUAUCAGGCUGAGUCCUCAAGCUGCCAUUCCUCUGAUUGUCCCUUCUGUAGUCACAUCUCAUUCUAAUUCUGUCUUCUGCUUCUUUCUCCUUGUUCCAUAUUUAAGGACCCUUUCAAUUACAUUGGAACACUCAGUUAAGCCAGGAUAAUCUCCCUUUUUCUUAAGAUUAGCUAAUUAGCAACUUUAAUUUCCUGUUUGCUUUCUAACCUAACCCAUUCUUAAUUUCCAGGAAUUAGGACUUAGAUAGCUUUUUGUGGGACACUAUUCUGGCUAUCACACAGAGUGUUGCCAUUUUGUGAAAUAACUGUACAGAAGCAUUUGAUUCAAUUUUGCUUCAUGCUAUAUUUCUGACAAAAGCAAUUGUCUUUCUUGGAUAAUGCAAAUUUUGUGGAUUUUAUGUCUCUAAAACAGAAAAUACUAGAUGGGGGCAUAUUAAGGCAGUUAUUUCUAGAUGCCAUGACAAUCUUACAGAAGUUUAUAAUCAAAAGAAAUAAAAGAGUAUUGUCAAAUCAUUUCUCAAAAUAAGUAGAUUUUCAAAAACCAGAGCUUAAAAUCAUUUCAACAUUUAAAAAUAUGCUAUGAAUGUAUCUGAGACCUUUCUGAUUGAAGGCUUAAGUUUGAGAACUGAAUUCAGUUUGGAGAGGAUAAAUCAGACAUAGUUUCUGUCCUUGUAGAGUCUAUUGGAGACUUCUGUGGGAAGACUUCUAUAACACAGGAUAGGCAUGCUAGCCCUCUAAUCAGAAGAUUUCUUCUAGUAGCCAGCUGUUUGACCAUGGCCAACCUCUGUUACAUUUGGUUUUAUUAUUUGUAAAAUGGAGAUUAUAGUAGUACCCUUUGAUGGUUAAUUUCAUAUAUCAACUUGACUGGGCUGCAAGGGGCCCAGAUAUUUGGCCAACUAUUAUUAUGGGUAUUCCUGUGAGGAUGUUUCUGGAUAAGAAUAGCACGUGAAUUGCUAUAUUAAGUAAAGCAGAUUGCCAUUGCUAACGUCAAGUAUCAGAGAGACUCAUCCAAUCAGUUGAAACCCAGAAUAAAACAAAAAGGCCAACCCUUUCAUGAGUAGGAGGGAACUUCUCCUGCCAGAGUACCCUCACCUGGGACAUUGCUUCUAUCACUACCUUUGGUCUCAAACUAAAACACUGGCUGUUUCUGGAUCCUGAGUUAGCUGGCAUUUUAACUGGAACUAAACCAACCACUCUCCUGAGUCUCCAGCUUGCUGACUGCAGAUCUUGGAAAUUGUUAUCCUCCGUAAUUGUGUGAGUGAAUUAUUUAUAAUAUCUAUCUAUCUACCUAUCUAUCUAUCUGUCUAUCUAUCUAUCUAUCCAUUCAUCCAUUCAUACACAUCCUAUUCAGUCUGUUUUCCUGAAGAAACCUGACUAAUACAGAGUUUGGUAUCCAGAGUGCUUCUAGAAGAAUAGAAUAUCAAAGAUGUUAUUUCUGAAUUGAUUAUGUGUUUUCUGGAACUGGUUCUGUAAUUUGUUUAUAUUUCAAACACUAAUGACUAUUUCCAGUAAUAAAG
rnacentral:lncRNA from 10 species